AAAGUCGUAACAAGGUUUCCGUAGGUGAACCUGCGGAAGGAUCAUUAAAGAUUCGACCUUUGGGUCUAUCUCUCUUCAGCUGUGCGCUUCGGCUGCACGCUGUUGAACCUCUCACACCUGUGCACCAUUCGGUUGCGGUUUCGAUCGCUUCCGCUUUUACACAUACAACCACAGUCCAGAAUGUAAAACACAAUAACAAUAACAACUUUCAACAACGGAUCUCUUGGCUCUC
rnacentral:misc_RNA from 1 species